AUUGAACGCUGGCGGCAGGCCUAACACAUGCAAGUCGAGCGAGCGGCGGACGGGUGAGUAAUGUAUGGGGACUGCCCGAUAGAGGGGGAUAACUACUGGAAACGGUGGCUAAUACCGCAUACUAUCGGAUAACCCAUAUGGGAUUAGCUAGUAGGUGGGGUAAAGGCGCACCUAGGCGAAUAUCUCGAGCUGGUCUGAGCGGAUGAGCAGCCACAUGGGGACUGAGACACGGCCCAGACUCCGACGGAGUCAGCUGUGGGGAUGAUUGCACAAUGGGCGAAAGCCUGAUGCAGCCAUGCCGAGUGUAUGAAGAAGGCCUUCGGGUUGUAAAGUACUUUCAGUCGGGAGGCGUUACCGACAGAAGAAGCACCGGCUAACUCCGUGCCAGCAGCCGCGGUAAUUC
rnacentral:rRNA from 1 species